rnacentral:tRNA from 1 species
UGGCACAACAGUUAAGUGUACUUGACUGCCAACCAAAAGGUUGGUGAUUCAAAUUCACC